rnacentral:rRNA from 1 species
CAUAAGCUAGCUUGACUGCGAGAGUGACGGCUCGAGCAGGUGCGAAAGCAGGUCAUAGUGAUCCGGUGGUUCUGAAUGGAAGGGCCAUCGCUCAACGGAUAAAAGGUACUCCGGGGAUAACAGGCUGAUACCGCCCAAGAGUUCAUAUCGACGGCGGUGUUUGGCACCUCGAUGUCGGCUCAUCACAUCCUGGGGCUGAAGUAGGUCCCAAGGGUAUGGCUGUUCGCCAUUUAAAGUGGUACGCGAGCUGGGUUUAGAACGUCGUGAGACAGUUCGGUCCCUAUCUGC